rnacentral:rRNA from 1 species
AUAUCAGUAAGCGGAGGAAAAGAAACUAACAAGGAUUGCCCCAGUAGCGGCGAGUGAACAGGCAAAAGCUCAAAGUGGAAAUCCUGCGGCUUACGGUCGUCGGAAUUGUAAUCUAGAGAGUCGAUGCGAAGGCAUGGCACCACCUCGUGUGAGUCCCUUGGAACAGGACGCCAAAGAGGGUGACAGCCCCAUACACAACGAGGGCCGGCCGUAGCAGAAGGCUUUUAAGAGUCGGGUUGUUUGGGACUGCAGCCCUAAACGGGAGAUAAACUUCUUCUAAAGCUAAAUAUUUAUGGGAGACCGAUAGCGCACAAGUA